CACUUACCUGAUUGGUCCGCUGUUCAAUCUGACUCCUAGCUCCAGUUUGAAAAUGUCAGUGUCUCAGCAGACAGCGUAACAGAAACAGCUGCUGCUACUACGUCUGCAUAUUCCGUUCUAUCGACCAGUAACAAAGUCAGUCCGAGGCCGUUUAAUCCCUCGUGCUUUCAGUAUUUUGCCACUGUUCUGGAUCCCACCGAUCAUUAAGGAAAAGGAGAAAACCAAACAAACAAAGAAACUUCAUUCUGUGCUCCUGCCGUGCUGACGUGUCAUCACAAUUACCCGGAAGCCGGUGACAUCACAGUUAAAGGUCCUCCUGAAACCAACAACAGAAAACCUGUUCCAGCGCCUGCCUCUGAGCAAGAUUAUUUUCUCAUCAGACCUCUCUUGCUGUGGGGCAAUCUAUAUUGGAGCCCUAAUCCGUUGGAUUAUAAUGGACAUUUAUUUUUGGAGAAGAAUUUUGUGAUUAUUUUUUGAUGGCUAUAUAUUUAUUUUUCUUUUUGAAAUACAAGGACUGUUAAGCCUAAUUUUUUGUUGUCUUUUUGUGAAAAGUUUUCAUUCCUUAUUUGUAAGGGUCUACACACGCAAAAGUGUAUGGUCCUUGUGUGACUGGUUUAAAAAUCUAUAUAUAUUGAUCCUACUUGUCAGGAGGGAUACCUGACUGGCACCGCUAAAAAGUGACAAAUAC